AGAGUUUGAUCCUGGCUCAGAACGAACGCUGGCGGCAGGCCUAAAACAUGCAAGUCAAACGGCCCUUCGGGGCAGUGGCGCACGGGUGCGUAACACGUGGGAAUUUACCCUUGGGUACGGAAUAACUUCUGGAAACGGACAUUAAUACCGUAUAAUCCCUUCUAGCUGGCGCUGGUUGUCCAAAGAUUUAUCGCCAAAGGAUUAGCCCGCGUCUGAUUAGGUAGUUGGUGGGGUAAAAGCCUACCAAGCCGACGAUCAGUAGCUGGUCUGAGAGGAUGACCAGCCACACUGGGACUGAGACACGGCCCAGACUCCUACGGGAGGCAGCAGUGAGGAAUAUUGGACAAUGGGGGAAACCCUGAUCCAGCCAUGCCGCGUGAGUGAAGAAGGCCUUAGGGUUGUAAAGCUCUUUCAAUAGUGAAGAUGAUGACGGUAACUAUAGAAGAAGCUCCGGCUAACUUCGUGCCAGCAGCCGCGGUAAUACAGAGGGUGCAAACGUUGUUCGGAAUUACUGGGCGUAAAGCGUACGUAGGCGGACUUUUAAGUCAGAUGUGAAAGCCCAGGGCUCAACCCUGGAACUGCAUUUGAAACUGGAAGUCUAGAGUCCCGGAGAGGUUAGGGGAAUUCCGAGUGUAGCAGUGAAAUGCGCAGAUAUUCGGAGGAACACCAGUGGCGUAGGCGCCUAACUGGACGGGAACUGACGCUGAGGUACGAAAGCGUGGGGAGCAAACAGGAUUAGAUACCCUGGUAGUCCACGCCGUAAACGAUGUAUGCAGUUGUUGGUAUCCAUAGGAUAUCAGUGACGAAGUUAACGCAAUAAGCAGACCGCCUGGGGAGUACGGUCGCAAGAUUAAAACUCAAAGGAAUUGACGGGGACCCGCACAAGCGGUGGAGCAUGUUGUUUAAUUCGAAGCAACGCGAAGAACCUUACCCACACUUAACUAUCCUCUUGGGGCUUUCAGAGAUGAUCGCUUUCGGUUCGGCCGGGGAGUGAAUAGGUGCUGCAUGGCUGUCGUCGUCAGCUCGUGUGUGAGAUGUUAGGUUAAGUCCUGCAACGAGCGCAACCCUUAUCGUAUGUUGCCAUCAGGUUAUGCUGGGAACUCAUGCGAGACUGCCGGUGACAAGCCGGAGGAAGGCGGGGACGACGUCAAGUCAUCAUGACCCUUACGGGUAGGGCUACAAACGUGCUACAAUGGCCGUGACAGUGGGCAGCCACCUCGCGAGAGGGAGCUAAUCCCUAAAAACGGUCUCAGUUCGGAUUGUACUCUGCAACUCGAGUGCAUGAAGUUGGAAUCGCUAGUAAUCGUGGAUCAGCAUGCCACGGUGAAUACGUUCCCGGGUCUUGUACACACCGCCCGUCACACCAUGGGAGUUGGUUCUACCCGAAGACAGCGUGCUAACCUUUUGGAGGCAGCUGGCUACGGUAGGUUCAGCGACUGGGGUGAAGUCGUAACAAGGUAACC
rnacentral:rRNA from 1 species